AUGCCCAACGCCCCCUCGAUCUCCUUGGUCGACGCCGAGCUGGUGCGGGCCGACGCCCUCCCCAUCGUGGCAGUAGGACGGCGGCGCUCGACGCCCGCAUCUCCUCCCUGCUCCAUUGGCGGCCAGGAUUGGUACCUCAGCGUCCCAGUCCGUCUGAAGUCUGCGUUUUCUGACUCUCUGAGUGUAGACAAUACUGAAGUUGCUGCCUCCAUUGCCGGAAGUUUCACGAGGAAGUUGAUUGAGGUUUUCUUGGAGAUGUCGGGCAGAACGGGUCUGAGCUGGGUACUCCCAGUUGGAGAGAGACAAAUUAGUUGUAGUGUUAAUGUUGAUAAAGUUGGCGAACAUUUGUCAGCGGGUGAUAGUUUGAUUUCUCAGCUUUUGGCCGGUCUAUCAGAACCUACCUCUGGUUCAAUUUGCAUUCAGAAGUAUGAUGAUAGUGGAAAUCCAAUGGGUCUGUCGGAAGUGUUAGCUCCUCAAAGAGUUGGUAUUGUUGGUCAAAGUGCCAUUUCAUUGGAUAAGGAUCCACAGUCUCUCAGUGGUGGGUUUAAGCGGCGACUUGCUUUGGCAAUUCAACUGGUUCAAACUCCUGAUUUAUUGUUGCUUGAUGAGCCCCUCGCUGGACUUGAUUGGAAAGCUCGGGCUGAUGUUAUGAAUCUCCUGAGGGACCUAAAGAAAGACCACACCAUACUGGUUGUAAGUCAUGACCUAAGCUGGAAUGCUGACCCAUUUGUUGUUGCAGUGAACAGGCUCAUAGCUAGCUAG
rnacentral:rRNA from 1 species